GAUGAACGCUAGCGGCAGGCUUAAUACAUGCAAGUCGUGGGGCAGCGCAGGUAGCAAUACUGGGCGGCGACCGGCAAACGGGUGCGGAACACGUACACAACCUUCCGAGAAGUGGGGAAUAGCCCAGAGAAAUUUGGAUUAAUACCCCGUAACAUAACGAUGUGGCAUCACAUUGUUAUUAUAGCUUCGGCGCUUCUUGAUGGGUGUGCGGCUGAUUAGAUAGUUGGCGGGGUAACGGCCCACCAAGUCUACGAUCAGUAGCUGAUGUGAGAGCAUGAUCAGCCACACGGGCACUGAGACACGGGCCCGACUCCUACGGGAGGCAGCAGUAAGGAAUAUUGGUCAAUGGACGCAAGUCUGAACCAGCCAUGCCGCGUGAAGGAUUAAGGUCCUCUGGAUUGUAAGCUUCUUUUAUCUGGGACGAAAAAAGGCGAUUCUUCGUCACUUGACGGUAUCAGAUGAAUAAGCACCGGCUAACUCCGUGCCAGCAGCCGCGGUAAAAC
rnacentral:rRNA from 1 species